rnacentral:rRNA from 1 species
GGAAUAUUGGACAAUGGGGGCAACCCUGAUCCAGCCAUGCCGCGUGUGUGAAGAAGGCCUUAGGGUUGUAAAGCACUUUCAGUGGGGAGAAAGGCGAUUUGUUUAAUAAACAAGUCGAUUGAUGUUACCCACAGAAGAAGCACCGGCUAACUCCGUGCCAGCAGCCGCGGUAAUCCGGAGGGUGAAAGCGUUAAUCGGAAUUACUGGGCGUAAAGCGUACGUAGGUGGUUUGUUAAGCUAGCUGUGAAAUCCCUGGGCUCAACCUAGGCACUGCAGUUAGAACUGGCAAGCUAGAGUAGGGUAGAGGGGUGUGGAAUUCCAGGUGUAGCGGUGAAAUGCGUAGAUAUCUGGAGGAACAUCAGUGGCGAAGGCGACACCCUGGACUCAUACUGACACUGAGGUACGAAAGCGUGGGGAGCAAA